ACUCCUACGGGAGGCAGCAGUGGGGAAUUUUACGCAAUGGGGGAAACCCUGACGUAGCGACACCGCGUGAGCGAAGAAGCCCUUUGGGGUGUAAAGCUCUGUCAGCUGGAACGAAAACAAUGACGGUACCAGCAGAGGAAGCAUCGGCUAACUACGUGCCAGCAGCCGCGGUAAGACGUAGGAUGCGAGCGUUGUCCGGAUUUAUUGGGCGUAAAGAGUUCGUAGGUGGUUUGUUAAGUUUGGUGUUAAAGAUCGGGGCUCAACCCUGGGACUGCACUGAAUACUGGCAGACUCGAGUGUGGUAGAGGCUAGUGGAAUUCCCAGUGUAGCGGUGAAAUGCGUAGAUAUUGGGAAGAACACCGGUGGCGCAUGCGACUAGCUGGGCCAUAACUGACGCUGAGGAACGAAAGCCAGGGGAGCGAAUGGGAUUAGAAACCCCUGUAGUCCC
rnacentral:rRNA from 1 species